UUCUUAUCCAGAGAGAUGGAGGGUUCUGGCCCUGUGAAAUCUCAGCAACCGGAAAAGAACGGAGAAUCUUUCUGUUCGAACCAAGGUGCUAAAUCCAGCAAGCGCAGGUAAUAAGCUUGGGAGAUAAGGA
rnacentral:ncRNA from 2 species